GCGCAAUAGUUCGGGGGAUAAGGCUAAAGAUCAAAAGGAGUAACGUUCCUCCGGCGAAUCGAAUACCAGUUGAGUAGCCUAGUGAAACGGUAAAGUCGAAAAUAGUUUUCCCAGGCAGUUUUAUUCCGAGGCAAACGUGACAUAUCGACAAGUUGCUCGCGUGGAGCCACCACAUACGCCACGCCUUCGAAAGAAUCCACUCGUUUUGCGUCGACUGAAGCCGUGAAAAAUUGUGUGUGGUUUUAUACCCAGCCUCGUCGUCAUCUAUAGACCGCGACGAGGGAAAUACCGAACCAACUUCCUUACCCCGAAGAAGAAAAACUUAGCGGCUUGUGUGUUACAGAGCCACGCGAAGCGAAGGCACGUCUAGCUGGUAACUCAUCGUCAUCCGGCCAAGGCAAAGACGUGACGAGUACUAAAAGGUUGUAAAGAAGAUCGGGCGGACCAACAUCGCCCACGACCAAUUUCCUUAAUAAAUGAUCCUAUUACGAGCCAGGAGGAAAAACUUCACGUUAAAGCGUCUUAUAUAUCAUUGCAACAUGAAAUUGGAUAUUUAUUGGUGACAGAUGGGACGUGGCAGUUCCGCGGAUCACGCGGCGCGAUCAAUCAUACCGUAAUACUAUACACUUUAGCGCAGUGCCGCGUAAUGAAUUGCAUCUGCAGUAAUAGCGGGUCAGUGGUGGCAGUACAGCCUUUGAAAAAUAACCGUAAUAUCAUUGUUCGUACGGGGACGAAGCUACAUGUGGGAUUCAGAACGCAACCGGCGAGACGCCACGCAGUUAUAGAGAUUUCUAUAUAUAUAGGGUGUCCGAGUAAACGCCAUAUGAUCAACAAAAUGACGAUUGUCUAUGAAAGGACAAGUCGAAGAUAUAAGCAAGAUUUUUUCGUAUGACACUUCGUCUUCGAGAUAAACGACCUAGAAAAUUUGUCAGUCUGGUGCGGCUGCUCUCUGCCUUCUAUUCUCGCGUUAUCUGCUGUCUCGUUUCACUGAGUUUACAUGCGACCGGUAAACUAAAUGCGCGCGGAGCCUCCAAGCGACAGACGCAACGUCGCCUGGGAAUAGAAACACAUGCAGCCCCGAUUUGAUAUGCCGACUGACACACAGGAUCACUGUUCGAAUCUCCACGGCAUAUGGCUUGAUACACGCGAUGCGAUGCGGGCCUUCGCCGCUGGCAUCUAUUUCCACGUGAUACCUACGAGAAGAGAGCCGUACCGGUACACACAGGGAGGCAAUGAGAGCCAGAGAUCGGAGCAAGAGUUAUCGGUUAAGCUCGUUAAAUUUAACUUUGACUUUUCGAGCCACGAGAGCCCGUGGGACGUAACGGUGCCUGCAAUGACGAACGGCCUUUGCUUUGAACACAAAUCACGUACGCCCAGGCCGAGCCUCCGCGAAGAAUUAAAUGAUUCUUCUCGAUCUUUUAUCGACUCGAAACCGACCGCCGCAAGAGCACACCAGGCUGCCAUCCGAUCAUCUUUCUUCCUGAUUCGAACCUCAUACAGUGUAUCCGUCUUUGAGUUAUCCGACCCGUGUUUUCAAUCAUAGUCCAAUCUUCUUACCGGGAUGUUUCAAGAAAGGAACAAUCGAGACGGGAAUUUUACAGUUUUCACGGUGUCAAGCUGAUGAUAAUCACUUGGUGGUCAAUCUUGGGGAAGAGGCGGCCGCAAGACAGCGGUACGGUACAGCGGUGCACAUGAGCUAACAGAGGCCGAAAGGAUGUCAUGACCUAACCUCGGCUGUCGGUGCGCGGGAGCGUCAUUAAUACGGUAGCAAUUUAUUACGCCGCUGUCUGACUGGUUGUCUGCUCCGACAGUGUCUUCGGGGCGUAGUCAUCGUCUGUGAACCUGAAUCUUGCGACAACACGUACGUACACAUACACUGGCACACUCGACAGGAGAUAACGGCCAAGAGACAAUGCAUCGACCACGUAAAAUUCUAUAGAUGAUGGAACGUUUCAAACGAGUUUCGAGAAAAAAUCGAGACGUGGAAGAAAUCGUUUAAAGUGAAAAUAUAUUGCUCUUAUUUUACAGCUUGAAAUGGACAGUUGACAUAUUUAUAUAGACGAAGGAGCAAGUAGUACGAAGUAAUAGAAAGCUAACAAAAAAGUGGAAGACGUGAUGGAACAUUUUAAACAUCGAUUUGGUCGUUUGUGGAGUAAUAAAGAUGAGAAAGUUCGACGUGGCAGAGAUGUUACGAAGGUGAUAGUCGAUUAUGUUGUUUAUGUAACGAUAUAGUGGCGUUGGAAAAAUAUGUAUAUCAAAGGAUGAGAGAUUUAUUCGUAUGAGCAUAGCGUAGGUUAUACAAUAAAUCGAGACAAAUAUUUUAAUAAAUAAGUGGUCAAACCUAACGUUUGUAGAAAGAACCUUGGAGUUCUAAUUCCGUGAGCCUAGUCUUCUAAGCGCUUAUCAAAAAGCACGUUUAAAGUUCAGUAAAUUACCAACACGUUUGGAAUCAUCGAACUGUUUUAAAAGAAGAAAUAACUAAUAAAGUAUUUAUACAGAUAAUCACAAA